CCGCAAGGAGUUGAGAGUGGCGGGCUGAAUAAACAAGCCGCCCCUGUCACGAGUCUUGCCAAGGGCUUAGGAAAUACCCUGCUUCACCACGAUACGCAUGGCAUUGAUAUUGUGUACCUUAACCCAAAAAUCUUAGGCCUGGCAAACACAGAGAAGAGACAUAUAGAAUAAUAGCUACCUAUUGAUAAUCCAAACAUAACAUAAAAAUAUGUGUCCCUAGUGGUGUUUUAUCUCUAACAAAGGAUUAAAUGCUUUCUCCUAAAUGAAUGUCAUUAUGUUUCAAAAGUUUGCUAAUUGUUGGGCUGGGCGCGGUGGCUCACGUCUGUAAUCCCAGCACUUUGGGAAGGCGAGGUGGGCGGAUCACGAGAAAAAUAGUUUGCUAAUCGUCAAAUGCAUCCAAGAUUGACAACUCCAAAUAAACAUUCAGUGUUAGAACUGUUUCAUUCAUGACUCCAGAGAGACCUUUCCUCACUGCUGUGUCUGAAGCAAACUCACAUUCCUGCCAACUUUCUCUAAGGAUAUUACACUGUUUACCUGCCUCUUCAAGAUCCUUAGGCCUUACAUCCCUGGUGCACUAUUCUAACUCCGGUGCCAAACACGUAACAGCACUCAAGAAAUGACUUGUUAAAGGAGUAAAUCUGAAUGUCCUAUUUGAUGUUGGGCCCUUAGAG
rnacentral:lncRNA from 1 species